rnacentral:rRNA from 1 species
AGGAUGAACGAUGGCGGCGUGCUUAACACAUGCAAGUCGAACGAUGAAGGCUGGAGCUUGCUCUGGCUGGAUUAGUGGCGAACGGGUGAGUAACACGUGAGUAACCUGCCCCAGACUCUGGGAUAAGCGCUGGAAACGGCGUCUAAUACCGGAUACGAGCUUCCACCGCAUGGUGAGGAGCUGGAAAGUAAUUUCGGUCUGGAUGGACUCGCGGCCUAUCAGCUUGUUGGUGAGGUAUGGCUGACCAAGGCGACGUACGGGUAGCCGGACCGUGAGGACGGGGUGACCGGUCCACGACGUGGGACUAGAG